UAACGAAUCUUCCCCAAUGCACGCAAGUGUGAGGGAGCGACGCCGCGUGGAGGUUAAGUCCUUCGGGAUGUAAACUCCUGUCAGGGGUAAGAAAGUUCUGAUCUACCCCAGAGGAAGUGGCGACUAACUCUGUGCCAGCAGUCGCGGUAAUACAGAGGCCACAAGCGUUAGGCGGAAUCACUGGGCUUAAAGCGUGUGUAGGCGGAUCGUUAAGUGUCCUGUGAAAUCCCACGGCUUAACCGUGGAACGGCAGGGCAAACUGGCGAUCUUGAGCCAUUCAGGGGCAGCUGGAACAGACGGUGGAGCGGUGAAAUGCGUAGAUAUCGUCUGGAACGCCAACGGUGAAGACAGGCUGCUGGGGAUGCGCUGACGCUGAGACACGAAAGCCAGGGGAGCAAACGGGAUUAGAUACCCCGGUAGUCCUGGCCCUAAACGAUGUCCACUGGAUCGUGGGCGGUUUGACGCUGCUCACGGUCGAAGCCAAAGUGAC
rnacentral:rRNA from 1 species